rnacentral:rRNA from 1 species
AUUGAACGCUGGCGGCAGGCCUAACACAUGCAAGUCGAACGAGUGGCGGACGGGUGAGUAAUGUCUGGGAAACUGCCUGAUGGAGGGGGAUAACUACUGGAAACGGUAGCUAAUACCGCAUACCAUCAGAUGUGCCCAGAUGGGAUUAGCUAGUUGGUGGGGUAACGGCUCACCAAGGCGACGAUCCCUCACUGGUCUGAGAGGAUGACCAGCCACACUGGAACUGAUACACUGUCCAGACUCCUACGGGAGGCAGCAGUGGGGAAUAUUGCACAAUGGGCGCAAGCCUGAUGCAGCCAUGCCGCGGGUAUGAAGAAGGCCUUCGGGUUGUAAAGUACUUUCAGCGGGGAGGCGUUACCCGCAGAAGAAGCACCGGCUAACUCCGUGCCAGCAGCCGCGGUAAUAC